GACGAACGCUGGCGGCGUGCUUAACACAUGCAAGUCGAGCGGAAAGGCCACUUCGGUGGUACUCGAGCGGCGAACGGGUGAGUAACACGUGAGUAAUCUGCCCUUGGCUUUGGGAUAGCCACCGGAAACGGAGAUUAAUACCGGAUACGACCACUCCAGGCAUCUGGUGGUGGUGGAAAGUUUUUCGGCCCGGGAUGUGCUCGCGGCCUAUCAGCUUGAUGGUGAGGUAAUGGCUCACCAUGGCUUCGACGGGUAGCCGGCCUGAGAGGGUGACCGGUCACACUGGGACUGAGAUACGGCCCAGACUCCUACGGGAGGCAGCAGUGGGGAAUAUUGGACAAUGGGCGGAAGCCUGAUCCAGCAACGCCGCGUGAGGGAUGACGGCCUUCGGGUUGUAAACCUCUUUCGGUAGUGACGAAGCGCAAGUGACGGUACCUACUAAAGAAGCACCGGCCAACUACGUG
rnacentral:rRNA from 1 species